rnacentral:rRNA from 1 species
CACCGCGGUUAUACGAAAGACCCUAGUUGAUAAACACGGCGUAAAGGGUGGUUAAGGAAAACAAAUAAUAAAGCUAAAGACCCUCUAAGCUGUCAUACGCAUUCCGAGAGCGCGAAACCCAAACACGAAAGUAGCUUUAAAUAUUAUUACCUGAACCCACGAAAGCUAAGAAA